GCAAGUCGAACGGUAGAGGGGGCAACCCCUCGAGAGUGGCGAACGGGUGAGUAAUAUAUCGGAACGUGCCCAGUCGUGGGGGAUAACGUAGCGAAAGUUACGCUAAUACCGCAUACGAUCUAAGGAUGAAAGCGGGGGAUCGCAAGACCUCGCGCGAUUGGAGCGGCCGAUAUCAGAUUAGGUAGUUGGUGGGGUAAAGGCUCACCAAGCCAACGAUCUGUAGCUGGUCUGAGAGGACGACCAGCCACACUGGAACUGAGACACGGUCCAGACUCCUACGGGAGGCAGCAGUGGGGAAUUUUGGACAAUGGACGCAAGUCUGAUCCAGCCAUUCCGCGUGCAGGAUGAAGGCCCUCGGGUUGUAAACUGCCUUUGUACGGAACGAAAAGGUUUCUAUUAAUACUAGGAGCUCAUGACGGUACCGUAAGAAUAAGCACCGGCUAACUACGUGCCAGCAGCCGCGGUAAUACGUAGGGUGCAAGCGUUAAUCGGAAUUACUGGGCGUAAAGCGUGCGCAGGCGGUUAUAUAAGACAGAUGUGAAAUCCCCGGGCUCAACCUGGGAACUGCAUUUGUGACUGUAUAGCUAGAGUACGGUAGAGGGGGAUGGAAUUCCGCGUGUAGCAGUGAAAUGCGUAGAUAUGCGGAGGAACGCCGAUGGCGAAGGCAAUCCCCUGGACCUGUACUGACGCUCAUGCACGAAAGCGUGGGGAGCAAACAGGAUUAGAUACCCUGGUAGUCCACGCCCUAAACGAUGUCAACUGGUUGUUGGGUCUUCACUGACUCAGUAACGAAGCUAACGCGUGAAGUUGACCGCCUGGGGAGUACGGC
rnacentral:rRNA from 1 species